GCACCAGUAGGCUAAUGGUUAGGCCACCACCCUUUCACGGUGGUCGUUCCGGGUUCGAGUCCCGGCUGGUGUG
rnacentral:tRNA from 1 species